rnacentral:rRNA from 1 species
AUUGAACGCUGGCGGCAGGCCUAACACAUGCAAGUCGAACGAGUGGCGGACGGGUGAGUAAUGUCUGGGAAACUGCCUGAUGGAGGGGGAUAACUACUGGAAACGGUAGCUAAUACCGCAUACCAUCAGAUGUGCCCAGGUGGGAUUAGCUUGUUGGUGGGGUAACGGGUCACCACGGCGACGAUCCCUAACUGGGCUGCGAGGAUGACCAGCCACACUGGAACUGACACACGGUCCAGAACCCUACGGGAGGGAGCAUUGGGGAAUAUUGCACAAUGGGCGCAAGCCUGAUGCAGCCACGCCGCGUGUAUGAAGAAGGCCUUCGGGUUGUAAAGGACUUUCAGCGUGGAGGCGUUACCCACAGAAGAAGCACCGGCUAACUCCGUGCCAGCAGCCGCGGUAAUUC